GUUCGUGGAUGGCCAGACGAAUCCAACACUUGUACAAUAGAGUAUGGCUGAAACCUGACCUCCUCGUCUGCUGUUUCAAUUCAAGUACAGUAGAAUCACUUGGUAACAUGCAUAUAUAACAUCAGUUAGCUAUGAUGUAAGCUUCCUAAGAAUUUGUUUUUUUUCAUAGUAGUAUUUUUCCCCAAACUAAACUGCAAGAUAAAGUUGUGGUAACAAAGUGUAGGAUUUAUCCUAGCCACCUACUCUAUAGUGCACAUUUUUUGCUUCUGUUCUGUUCUCCAUGCGCGCCAAUCCGUCCUCAACUUACUGAACUUUUUUUAGAUUAAUAGCUUACUAAACUGUUUAUAUUGGCAACAGGGGACACAGGGCUCUAGAGUACACUGUUUGAGAUCCAGUGUUUCAAAGUCCAGCCAAAAAUGUUGAAAUUCAGUUGUUUGAUGAAUUUGGACAAUGAUGAUGAUGAUUUAGAAUCUGAUCCAGAGUUUGAUGAAUGAUGAUGAAGAGAUGGUAUACAAUACAAUCAGGGUAGGGGCAAAAGUUUAGAUUGUUCGAAAGCAAAAAAAAAUAAAAAAAUAAAAAGAAGACUGGACCAAUACUAGAGGAGCUAUGGG
rnacentral:lncRNA from 1 species